rnacentral:rRNA from 1 species
CCUACGGGAGGCUGCAGUGAGGAAUAUUGGUCAAUGGACGCAAGUCUGAACCAGCCAUGCCGCGUGCAGGAAGACGGCUCUAUGAGUUGUAAACUGCUUUUGUACGAGGGUAAACGCCGAUACGUGUACCUGUCCGAAAGUAUCGUACGAAUAAGGCUCGGCGAACUCCGGGCCAGCAGCCGCGGUAAUACGGAGGAUGCGGGCGUUAUCCGGAUUUAUUGGGUUUAAAGGGUGCGUAGGCGGAGUGUGAAGUCAGCGGUAAAAUUUCGGGGCGCAACCCCGUCGGGCCGUUGAAACUGACGCCCUUGAGUGAGUGAGAAGUAAGCGGAAUGCGUGGUGUAGCGGUGAAAUGCAUAGAUAUCACGCAGAACGCCGAUUGCGAAGGCAGCUUACCGGCGCUCAACUGACGCUGAGGCACGAAAGUGCGGGUAUCGAACAGGAUUAGAUACCCUGGUAGUC